GCGUUCUUAUGAGUAACUAUGGCGCAUUUCUUAUACAUAUAUUAUCCCGUCGGGGUUUUGCUUAUCUCUUUGGUAAAUCGAUUGCGCAUGCUGUUAUCAGCAGUUCGUUUGAGUUGUCCCCGGGUCCCUUACCUUAUGUAUAUUGUAUACAUGUAUACACAGUACCUUAAAUUUCAAAACUUGGUAAUACGGUCAUUUCUAAUUCUAACGCAUUCUUUCUCUUCCUUUAAGUGCUCUUGGUCAAAGAAAUUAACGUCACAAUUGUGGGAAUACAUUAUGAUGCAUCAAUACGUUACAACAUAUUUUAUUACGCUACUUUAGUGCAAUACUUUAUUACUAAUUUCAGGGAUGGGGGUUCUAACGCUUUUUCUCUCUCUAUGUUCUCUUCCGACCCCUUCCCUGUGUAUCUUUCUUUGUUCCAGUUUUCCUGACUCUUCCUUUCCUUAUUGCUUAGAAAUAUUUUCCAGAAACAUCCGCCAUUAUGGAAGGGUAUGCACACCUGGUAGUAGUCUGUCUCGUGGUCUAUGGGAAGGUGAAUUUCUUCAUCAGGUUUAAUUUAUUGUUGAGCUCAAUAUUCUGUUAAAUUUUUCAAAUCUGACUGUGUGUGUUUGUAAUGGACGGAGUGUGUAAAAGGUUCGUGUGGACGGAGUGCCAAGCAACCACCCUCGAUUCUCACGGACGUCUGGAACUGCGCGAAAACUGGUGGCCCAAAAAGUACUAAACGCCUCUGCAUCGCAAGAGAUCACGAGAUACUGGUUGGCUUGCCACAAUUCCCGAUCUUCAAUGGCUUGAAUAAAAAUCCGCAGGGACAUCGUCUCUCCCAGGAAUACGUAAACUGUAAAAGCAGAAAAAGAAAAAGGCCACGUAGCAACAAGGUUGUCGAAGAGCGCAACACAACCUGUUAUCGUCAAAAUGAAUUUUGUGAUGGACAGUUAUGUUGUAUCCAGAAAUUCCCUCUUUAUUUCCUAUUCUUCUUUCGAAAGAGUCCGCUAUCGCAUGCCAUUUCGACGUGUUUUGAACUACCAAGGAAAUGCUAUUCCAGUCGUAGUGUUGCAACAGCAUUAGCAUGGACUCGACCAUCUAUAAAUAAAUGUUACCCAAUAAAUUCGGGUUUUGUAACCGACGUAUAUUGAUUAUACCUGUGAAUCAGGGGGACGGGUGCGUAGGAAUGCUGGGAAGAGUUCUUUGUUGGACAGUUUUUCGUCUCCACAGACCUGAGUCGUUAUAGAAAAGCUGCAGAUGUCAUUAUGUCCAAAUACUGUUACCGCUCCUGACUUCAACAACUCUUCUAGCGCAACUGUAACAGAUUGGUUAACUUUAACUUGCUUGAAUGUAAUCGCCAGUUGGAGGGUUUUCGAUAACUGUUGAUUGGCGUCAUUUACGGCCAUUUGUAGAGCGCUAUAAAUGUCUUGCUCUGUUCGAAACGCAAGGUGAUCUUGAGGAGAAGACAGAAAUCCGAUUGGAAGAUUUAUGCCGGACACUUUAACCGGAACCAGGCAAAGAAGGAACACAAUCAAGAAAACUAGUUGGACGAGAAGAAAUUGACGAGCUUUCCAUGGCGAGAACAGGUCUGGUUUCUUCGCCAUACUUUACAGUUACCGCGGACUCGAUUUUUUUAAAUUAUUCAGCUUCACCUAUUUUCACAAAUUACGAUUUACUGCGACAUCCACAGAAAAUUGUUAUUUAAUAUUACCACGAGACCGCUUGUCAAAAGAUCAAGAUUAUUCCGACAUUUCCGAGAAAUUGUGCAUCGGACCUUAUGGACGUGUUUAGCUGUCAAAUAAACAGACAUAUGAAUGACAAA